GACGAACGCUGGCGGCGUGCUUAACACAUGCAAGUCGAACGGAAAGGCCCUGCUUUUGUGGGGUGCUCGAGUGGCGAACGGGUGAGUAACACGUGAGUAACCUGCCCUUGACUUUGGGAUAACUUCAGGAAACUGGGGCUAAUACCGGAUAGGAGCUCCUGCUGCAUGGUGGGGGUUGGAAAGUUUCGGCGGUUGGGGAUGGACUCGCGGCUUAUCAGCUUGUUGGUGGGGUAGUGGCUUACCAAGGCUUUGACGGGUAGCCGGCCUGAGAGGGUGACCGGCCACAUUGGGACUGAGAUACGGCCCAGACUCCUACGGGAGGCAGCAGUGGGGAAUAUUGCACAAUGGGCGGAAGCCUGAUGCAGCAACGCCGCGUGCGGGAUGACGGCCUUCGGGUUGUAAACCGCUUUCGCCUGUGACGAAGCGUGAGUGACGGUAAUGGGUAAAGAAGCACUGGCUAACUACGUGCCAGCAGCCGCGGUGAUACGUAGGGUGCGAGCGUUGUCCGGAUUUAUUGGGCGUAAGGGGCUCGUAGGUGGUUGAUCGCGUCGGAAGUGUAAUCUUGGGGCUUAACCCUGAGCGUGCUUUCGAUACGGGUUGACUUGAGGAAGGUAGGGGAGAAUGGAAUUCCUGGUGGAGCGGUGGAAUGCGCAGAUAUCAGGAGGAACACCAGUGGCGAAGGCGGUUCUCUGGGCCUUUCCUGACGCUGAGGAGCGAAAGCGUGGGGAGCGAACAGGCUUAGAUACCCUGGUAGUCCACGCUGUAAACGGUGGGUACUGGGUGUGGGGUCCAUUCCACGGGUUCCGUGCCGUAGCUAACGCUUUAAGUACCCCGCCUGGGGAGUACGGCCGCAAGGCUAAAACUCAAAGGAAUUGACGGGGCCCCGCACAAGCGGCGGAGCAUGCGGAUUAAUUCGAUGCAACGCGUAGAACCUUACCUGGGUUUGACAUGGAUCGGGAGUGCUCAGAGAUGGGUGUGCCUCUUUUGGGGUCGGUUCACAGGUGGUGCAUGGCUGUCGUCAGCUCGUGUCGUGAGAUGUUGGGUUAAGUCCCGCAACGAGCGCAACCCUUGUUCACUGUUGCCAGCACGUUAUGGUGGGGACUCAGUGGAGACCGCCGGGGUCAACUCGGAGGAAGGUGGGGAUGACGUCAAGUCAUCAUGCCCCUUAUGUCCAGGGCUUCACGCAUGCUACAAUGGCUGGUACAGAGAGUGGCGAGCCUGUGAGGGUGAGCGAAUCUCGGAAAGCCGGUCUCAGUUCGGAUUGGGGUCUGCAACUCGACCUCAUGAAGUCGGAGUCGCUAGUAAUCGCAGAUCAGCAACGCUGCGGUGAAUACGUUCCCGGGGCUUGUACACACCGCCCGUCAAGUCAUGAAAGUUGGUAACACCCGAAGCCGGUGGCCUAACCGUUGUGGGGGAGCCGUCGAAGGUGGGACUGGUGAUUAGGACUAAGUCGUAACAAGGUAGCCGUACCGGAAGG
rnacentral:rRNA from 1 species